rnacentral:misc_RNA from 1 species
CAUUGCUUCAACUUGAUCUUAACCAAAUUCGGACAUCCCCAAGCAAGAGCUCGGAUUGCAACGUCUCAUCCCUUUAUACACAGCUUUUUCAAUGCCACGCAUUUAGCUGCAAUGCAAGCAAUCUCUUGAUCACCAAUGCUUCCAGUCCCACACAGCGCCAAUCGUUCCAGUUUCUGGCAAUUAGCAGCAAUGGCGGCCAAGCUCGCCUGCGUCGCAUCAACACCAAUCAAAACCAGCUCUUGUAGAUUUGGACAAUGUUUGGCCACUGCAAUUAAACCUUCAUCUCCAAUCCUAUUAGUCCUCCAUCCAUCUAUGUGAAGCUUCCUCAGUUGCUUGCAAUUCUCCGCCACGCAAACAAGCCCUAAAUUCGAACACUCUGGGGUUUUCACUAUAUGCAAAAUCUCCAUAUUUACCCAUUUCGAAAUCGCUGCAAGACCAAUGUCGCUCAUUUGAAUCCUUUCAAGGUGUACAUCAAUUAAUAAGCUGUUUUCGUUUCCAAUAAUUUGAAGUAC